rnacentral:rRNA from 1 species
UUUGGUGGCAAUACCGCAGCGGUCCGACCCGUUCCCUUUCCGAACACGGCCGUCAAACGCUGCAGGGCCGAUGGUAGUAGUCUUAUAGAUUCUGCGAGAGUAGGUCGCCGCCAGUC